rnacentral:lncRNA from 1 species
AGCAAGUGGAGAGCUUACAUUGCUCUGAAGGCAUGGAAGAAGGCCAUCACCGAUGAUCCCAAAGGGAUCCUUAAGACAUGGGUCGGAAAGGAUGUCUGCAAGUACGAAGGGGUCUUCUGUUCACCUCCCGAGGAUCCGGAUCUUCAGUACCUUGAGGUGGUAGCCGGCAUCGAUCUGAAUGACGCCGAUUUGAAGGGAACUUUGGUGCCGGAGUUGGGUUUGCUUCGGGAAAUUGGAAUAUUCCAUUUGAACAGCAACCGAUUCUCCGGAGAAGUGCCCGACUCAUUCCGUUACAUGAAGACGUUGUUUGAGCUUGACCUUAGCAACAAUCAGCUCAGUGGGUCUUUUCCGUUGGUCGUCCUGGACAUUCCCAAUUUGGUGUAUCUGGAUAUCCGAUUCAAUGAAUUCUUUGGCAAGCUACCGAGGGAGCUGUUCUCGAAGCCCACUUUGGAUGCGAUCUUCGUGAAUAACUGCAAUUUCGAGGGUGAUAUCCCUGACAAUUUCGGGGAGUCCCCUGUUUCCGCCGUGGUGCUCGCAAACAACAGAUUCGAUGGAAGCAUUCCUUCCUCCAUUCGGAACAUGAGCAAUACCCUGAACGAGAUUGUUGCCUUGGGUAAUAAUUUCCACGGAACACUUCCGAGUGAGAUCGGUUCAUUGAAGAAUGUCAACCUCUUUGACUACAGUGCCAACUACAUCUCAGGAGGGUUGCCUACGAGCAUUAAGAACAUGAGGGAUCUGGAGGUGUUUGACAUGAGCAGGAACUACUUGGCCGGAACAGUCACUGCUGAGCUCUGUGGACUGAACAAUUUGACAGCAGUCGCUCUCGACUACAAUUACUUCAAGGGAGUGGAUCCCACAUGUGCGCGCCUUGGCGAUAUCUUAUCUCUAGUUGGAAAUUGUGUGCCUGGAGCUCCUGGACAGAAGGACGAGGCAACAUGCGCACAGUUCUAUGGGCUCACUCCUCCGCGAACCCCAUCUAAUCCUACCCCAUCCAAUCCUCCUCGUUCCUCUUCACCACCUCCUCCAACCCCAUCCAAUCCUCCUCGUUCCCCAUCUCCCCCUCCCCCUUCCCCAUCUUCUCCUCCUCCUUCCCCAUCACAACCUCCUCCAUCUCCACCUCCUCCUUCCCCAUCACCACCCCCUCCUUCUCCAUCUCCACCCCCUCCAUCACCAUCUCCACCACCACCUCCAGUUGUGUCCCCACCGCCUCCUCCAGUUAUAUCACCACCCCCUCCUCCUCCUUACAUUUCUCCCGCUCCUCAGCCAGACACUGAAUGCCCAGAGGGUUACGAACCAGGGAAGAAGUCCGGU